rnacentral:rRNA from 1 species
UGGGGAAUAUUGGACAAUGGGGGCAACCCUGAUCCAGCCAUGCCGCGUGAGUGAUGAAGGCCUUCGGGUUGUAAAGCUCUUUUGGCGGGGAAGAUGAUGACGGUACCCGCAGAAUAAGCCCCGGCUAACUUCGUGCCAGCAGCCGCGGUAAGACGAAGGGGGCUAGCGUUGUUCGGAAUUACUGGGCGUAAAGCGCGUGUAGGCGGUUGUCCAAGUCGGGUGUGAAAGCCUUGAGCUCAACUCAAGAAAUGCACUCGAUACUGGGUGACUUGAGGACCGGAGAGGAUAGUGGAAUUCCCAGUGUAGUGGUGAAAUACGUAGAGAUUGGGAAGAACACCAGUGGCGAAGGCGGCUAUCUGGACGGUUUCUGACGCUAAGACGCGAAAGCGUGGGGAGCAAACAGGAUUAGAUACCCUGGUAGUCCACGCCGUAAACGAUGGGUGCUAGACGUUGGCGGGCUUGCUCGUCAGUGUCGUAGCUAACGCGUUAAGCACCCCGCCUGGGGAGUACGGCCGCAAGGUU